UCCCUGCGGGUCCUGGGGCGGUCCGGAGCGCGCGGCUCCCUCCUGCAGCAUCCCACACGCUUCCCAACCGCUCAGCCCCAUCCCUAACCCCGCACUUUGGAGUGAACGCGCUGCAUCCCUCUCACCCUCUCAUCCUCUGCCCCGCAAGGUGCGCCUUCCCCACCAUCCCAAAGCAACGGCCAGCCGACAGGGCCGCCGUGCUGCCCAGUUUCCCUGCUCCAUCCCAUCAGUGCUGUUGUCUUGUGAUGGUAAUUUCAUCAACGGCUUAUGUAAGGGUUGGAUAACACAAACACCACAACAUAUGGUUCGUGCGAGAUAGCAACGUGUGCUCCAUAAAGCGUUACAAUGACUUGUGUGAUAUUCCCCUUACAGUCUGUGGAUGAUUUACAGCCUUUCCAAGCUGUCACAAAUAGCGUAACGUCCCCUGUGAUUCGAUCAAAAGUUUGCUAAUUUGAUAAGCAAAAUGGAUUAUUUGGUUGCAGUGGGAAAUCUAAUGUCAUUACUGAAGGAAGCGAUGGACUUGCUUCUGCAUUCCUCUCAAAAUUGAUCUUUUGAGCAUUCAGUGACUUUAGAAUUGGGCUCUGUGACAGGUUCGUUUGUGAAGGUUUGGCCCUUGGUGCCACUAAACCUUGCCUGUAAGGCCCCAGUGUCCCUGGAGCGCUGCAGCAUCCUAGUGCUGCAUGGGCAAACUGGGCAAUCCGAGCAGGCAGUGCUGAGCAAAGGAUGGGAAAUGUUGGGGAAAAGAGAGUGUUUCUCAAAUCCCACUUUCUUCUGGAUGGAUUUUGAGGUGGGCAUUCCCAGUGCAGAUUGAGGUGACACUUUCCUAACAGAUGGCUCUGGUGUGCUCACACUGCGGCACGUCACAGAUAGAUGGGUUGGGUGGGAGGUGGCAGGCCUAAGUGUAGGCUCCCCUCCCCAGCGCAGAGCCCAGCUGUUGUCACCCACCCAUUGGGAAGAUGCUCUGCACUCCUGUGAUUGCAUCAUACCCUUUGAAGUAAUGCAAGGAAAUGCAGACCUGCAGCCUUCAUGCACAGACUUUUCACCCCUUGCAUGUCUGAUGCGAUGCAGCCAGUGUGUGUGCUUUGCUCUGGAGCCCAAAAGCUUGCUAGGGCAACUGAGUCUCAGAGCAUAUUUUCCAAAGGCAGCCUCUCCCAGGUGACAGGCAUGUGAAAGAGGACCACCACCUCAGUGCUGGGUGCAGGUCCAGAGGCUGCUCUAACUCGGGGGCAGGUUUGAUGUGUGCAGAAAAAUGCAUUCCUUCCACUAAAUUGCUCUUGUGGUGGGAUAAAUAUUAAGUGUUAUUUGGUACUGGAGGCAUAACCUCUGUUGUACAGCUCUUCCAAAGCUGGAGAAAAGCGUCAGCCCACCUUGUGCACACUUGUGUCCAGGCGUGUUUUAGCACCUGAUUUGACAGUGUGAUGCCUGGAGUCAGGGGUGCUCAUGGGAAUGGUUGAGCUUAUUGAACCUCCUUGCAUCAAAAUUAGAGGGGCUGGGGAAACCUGUUAUGUAUUUUGAUUGUUAUUUAGCUUUGAAAAUAUUUAUUUUACUGUUUAUUGUUAUUUAAAUUACUACCCAGCUCUUUCACCCCAUGUGACAUUUGCGGCAUGCAUAUUCGUGCCCAUCAGUCCCACUGCCUCUGCAGACCUCCAGAAAUGCCUCUGUGCUAAAAUAAACAAGCUGCCCUGUGGGUGCUGUGUAUGUAUGUGCUGUCUUAUCCAACAGCGUUACUGAAAGGGAUUAAAACAUUCCUUCCUUUGCACAAAAUAAUGAACCCAUUUUGAGAAAGCACCAUGCAACAGAAACAUGACUUUCGCAGUCAAAAGUAAAGCUAUAUUUGUUAAUAAGCAGGGCACCAGAGUACAGAGAUAAUUGGCAUGUUAGAAAUACCGGGCUCUCUAGACCUAUUUAUAUGUUUAGUAGCAAAUAUAAAUGGGUAUGUAUAACCUAAGGUGAAUGUUCUUUUCCAGUUCCUUGCAUCCUUUUGAUCUGUGCUUAGCAAGGCUUUAGGUGACUCCAUGUGCUACAGGAGUCCCACUUGCUGGCGGUUAUGUGGAAAUGUUAAACAAAUUGACUGCUGGUUGAAACUUUUUUUCUUUGAUGGCGAGCAGUGGUGGACUAGAGGAAAUAGCAAAGUUGAAAGGAAAACCAAAAAUACAUAUUCUGGAAACUUGCUUCUGUGACUGUUUUUUAAAUCAUUUUCCUCUCCAAUUUGUCUUCCAACCAACCAGCUCUACCCAAGUGCAAGCAAAUGUUUUUAUUUCAGAGGUCACAGACUUAUGUAAGUGGCUGGACAACAAGUGGUAACAGGAGUGGUAGAGCAUGAUAACUUUUUUACCCAGUGCACAAAGAGCUGGAAGAGAGACUCAUCAGCUGUGGGUGUUUGGAGACAGUGAGGAACUUGGGGUGACACAGGUAUGUGCCAACAGUAGCCAGUGAACUUAAAACCAAGUUCUUGCAUGGUGAUUAUAAAGUGGGAGAGAUUUGUGAUUGCCUAACAUUGGAACAGCAUGAGCAAGAUCCCGUGUGUAACUGGCAGGAUGAGCAGAAGCAGAUAGCCACAGCAAAGGUGAAACGUUGCCUGCACAGAUCAGCUGACACGCAGAUCACAAAGGCACAGAACCUCAUUAUUUAAGAUGUCAGAGGUGUGGCACACGUGGUGUUGAUGUGCCUGUUGUACUGCCUUGAAUGGUUCCUGAGAUCACCAGAAGGCAAGCAGUGGGUGGCAAGGCCAAUUGGGUAGAUAUUUGUCUCUUAAAGAAAUUGGGACAUUCUAAUUAAGUGGUGAGACCUGGAAUCCAUAUAAUUCCUCUGACUCACAGUACCUUUAGGUGAGGCUGGUGGCAAGAGCUUUUUAUUAAGAUGACUUAACAUUUUCCAAUGUAAGACCAUGGUGUUUUCUUUGUUAGAUCCUCUUUAGGCCUAACAUUUUUUCAGGAAACUUUGGUCAAAAUCAUUAUGGCAGCUCGAAUAGCAGGAACAAGAAAAACACGUUGCUUCUACCAUGUUAGAAAUUCUUCUGACCUUUCCUUUGAAAUACCCAAGCAUGCUUGCACUGAAACAAAAAUUUAGGAGGUGGGCUUCUGUGUCUGAAGUGGGGCUGGGAACGGAGGAAAGAAUGCCCUUCCUA